AGAACGAACGCUGGCGGCAGGCUUAACACAUGCAAGUCGAACGCCCCGCAAGGGGAGUGGCAGACGGGUGAGUAACGCGUGGGAAUCUACCCAAUUCUACGGAACAACUGAGGGAAACUUCAGCUAAUACCGUAUACGCCCUACGGGGGAAAGAUUUAUCGGAAUUGGAUGAGCCCGCGUUGGAUUAGCUAGUUGGUGGGGUAAUGGCCUACCAAGGCGACGAUCCAUAGCUGGUCUGAGAGGAUGAUCAGCCACACUGGGACUGAGACACGGCCCAGACUCCUACGGGAGGCAGCAGUGGGAAUAUUGGACAAGUGGGCGCAAGCCUGAUCCAGCCAUGCCGCGUGAGUGAUGGAAGGCCGUUAGGGUUGAAAGCUCUUUCAGGUAGGGAAGAUAAUGGACGGUACCCACGAGAAGAACGCCCCGACUAACGUUCGUGCCGAGCGACGCCGAC
rnacentral:rRNA from 1 species